rnacentral:rRNA from 1 species
CACGUAGGCGGUUUUUUAAGUCAGAUGUGAAAGCCCCGGGCUCAACCUGGGAAUUGCAUUUGAAACUGGAAAACUAGAGUGUGUGAGAGGGGGGUAGAAUUCCAAGUGUAGCGGUGAAAUGCGUAGAGAUUUGGAGGAAUACCAGUGGCGAAGGCGGCCCCCUGGCACAACACUGACGCUCAGGUGCGAAAGCGUGGGGAGCAAACA